GACGAACCGUGCGAGCGUUAUUCGGAAUCACUGGGCUUAAAGCGCGUGUAGGCGGGACGGCACGUCUGUCGCUGAAAUCCCCCGGCUUAACCGGGGAACUGGCGGAGAUACGACCGUCCUGGAGGGGCGUAGGGGGACCUGGAACUUCCGGUGGAGCGGUGAAAUGCGUAGAUAUCGUAAGGAAGACCAGUGGCGAAGGCGGGUCUCUGGACAGUUCCUGACGCUGAGGCACGAAGGCCAGGGGAGCAAACGGG
rnacentral:rRNA from 1 species